CAGCCGUAAACUAUGCGCGUUAGGUGUACUGGUGACCACGAGUCACCGGGGUGCCGAAGGGAAACCGUGAACGUGCCGCCUGGGAAGUACGGUCGCAAGGCUGAACUUAAAGGAUUGGCGGGGGAGCACCACAACAGGUGGAGCCCGCGGUUUAAUUGGACUCAACGCCGGGAAGCUCACCGGAUAGGACAGCAGAAUGAUUGCCGGGCUGAAGACCCUGCAUGACUAGCUGAGAGGAGGUGCAUGGCGUCAGUGACU
rnacentral:rRNA from 1 species